rnacentral:rRNA from 1 species
GACGAACGCUGGCGGCGUGCUUAACACAUGCAAGUCGAGCGGUAAGGCCCUUUCGGGGGUACACGAGCGGCGAACGGGUGAGUAACACGUGGGUGACCUGCCCUCAGCUCUGGGAUAAGCCUGGGAAACUGGGUCUAAUACCGGAUAUGACUCCAUGACGCAUGUUGUGGGGUGGAAAGCCUUGUGCGGCUGAGGAUGGGCCCGCGGCCUAUCAGCUUGUUGGUGGGGUGAUGGCCUACCAAGGCGACGACGGUAGCCGGCCUGAGAGGGCGACCGGCCACACUGGGACUGAGACACGGCCCAGACUCCUACGGGAGGCAGCAGUGGGGAAUCUUGCGCAAUGGGCGAAAGCCUGACGCAGCGACGCCGCGUGAGGGAUGACGGCCU